UACGUAGGGUGCGAGCGUUGUCCGGAAUUAUUGGGCGUAAAGAGCUCGUAGGCGGUCUGUCGCGUCGAUCGUGAAAACUUGGGGCUUAACCCUGAGCUUGCGGUCGAUACGGGCAUGACUGGAGUUCGGCAGGGGAGACUGGAAUUCCUGGUGUAGCGGUGGAAUGCGCAGAUAUCAGGAGGAACACCGGUGGCGAAGGCGGGUCUCUGGGCAGUAACUGACGCUGAGGAGCGAAAGCGUGGGGAGCAAACAGG
rnacentral:rRNA from 1 species